ACUCCUACGGGAGGCAGCAGUGGGGAAUAUUGCACAAUGGGGGAAACCCUGAUGCAGCCAUGCCGCGUGUGUGAAGAAGGCCUUCGGGUUGUAAAGCACUUUCAGUAGGGAGGAAGGUAGUGUAGUUAACACCUGCAUUAUUUGACGUUACCUACAGAAGAAGCACCGGCUAACUCCGUGCCAGCAGCCGCGGUAAGUACGGAGGGUGCGAGCGUUAAUCGGAAUUACUGGGCGUAAAGCGCAUGCAGGCGGCCUGUAAGUCAGAUGUGAAAGCCCGGGGUCUUAACCGUCGGAAUUGCAUUUGAAACUGGCAGGCUAGAGUCUUGUAGAGGGGUUAGAAUUUCGAGGUGUAGCGGUGAAAUGCGUAGAGAUCUGAAGGAAUCCAAGUGGCGAAGCGGCCCCUGGACAAAGACUGACGCUCAGACUGCGAAAGCGUGGGAGCAAACAGGAUUAGAUACCCCUGGUAGACUGUCA
rnacentral:rRNA from 1 species